UCAGCGCAGACGUAGCAUCAGGCAUAACAGAAGAUGAAUUUUCCCAUCAUGACGUAAAAACACAAUUUAAUGAGACAGAAAUUAAAGUAUCAUCGAGAGUGAAAAACUUUAAUGGUAUAACACUGGUAACGUUAACGUUCUGUCCUGAAUGGAUAUUACAGUAUACAAGGAAAGGGGCUAUAUUAACUGCAGACAAAGACUCAAUCACAGAUCAACAAUCAGAAUAUUUACGGAUUAUAGAAGGUCAGUUUAGCAGAGAUGAGAAUGAUACUCUUUACACCAGACUUGAUUUUGGACCUAUAGCUACACAAGAGUUUACAUUACAGUCACUAUGUGGUAUAGACUUAUCACAUGAUGUCAAAAUAACAGAAUUCCAUCUGCAGAGGGCCGCCAUGUUUUAUCACAAUCAUGAUUCAUACGGUGGUUAUUAUAGGCAUGGUUUGAUUCACGCUCCAUAUAUGAUAGUAAAAGGAUAUUGGUACGAUGAUGAUACUCUGGAAUCAACGACACAAGUCUCCACCAGUUCUACAAUACCAGAAAGCAGUAGUAUAACAAGUGAUAUUUCAAACGAAAAUAUCACAAAAACGUCGUUACUAAGAGAAGAAUGUAUUGCCACCGAAGCGUACUCAGUUCAACAAAAUGGCCAACCAUUUCAAUGUAAAUGUUUUCCAGAGCCAAACAUCACCAUGUCAGCUAAGUUAGUAGAGGAAAUAAAAGAUGCCAUUAGUGCAAAUCUAUCCGUUAAAACCAAUACUUUGUCUUCGACCACUAGAACGAAAAUAUCAGCCCAGGAUGACCGUAGUUCAUCUAAAACUAUUGGCUUAUUGGGUAGUAUUUUGCUAGGUUUAGAAUUUGCUUUACUUGUAUUUCUAGAUUCAACAUAUUUAAUACAAGGAAUGCAUAAUCUAUAUAAUAAGAUUAAACAUCGCCAUAUUGGUAUUAAUGAGGCGAUCUUGUGAUAAAAUCUUAACCGGUGGCUUAAUAACAAAUAAAAAAUGUACAAAAUUUAUUGUGGUUACAAGUUCAAAUACCAACCAAUAUAAAUAGACGUACAUAAUGUAGUCAAAUAAUAACUUUUCGCAUGGCUAACUAGUUUAAAACCAAAAUAAUGAAAUUGUUCUUCUUUAAUUGUUUGGUUCUUUACUCAAUUUACUCAAAGUAUUGGACGAGAGGCUGAAAUUGGGAGUUCGGGUAGAUAGAAAUGAUAAAAAUUAUAUUCUAAUGCAGGUCACCAUUAAUACAGAUUAAUGGAAAUCCCCAAAGAUCUCGUUAUGGCUUCGAUUUUGGCACAUGUCGGAUCGUAACUACCAGGAUGUUGAGCUUUUCAACGAUUUACUUAUUCAGCGAUCAGUUACAUUGUACCUUCCGUUCCAUAAACGUUGUAAACGCGAGAGAGGCUGCAGUUCUUAAAAUAUUUCUUUAAAACUCAAAGUUGAGCAUUGGCACUAUGAGAGGAUGAGCCCUAUCGAAGUUUUCAUCCCAUCUCUUGCAAAAUGUGGGCGUAUUUUGCAAGCCGACCGCUAGUUGUAAUGUGUGAAAGAUAUGACAAUCUCCGAAUUUCUGUAAAAUUCAAAAUUCACUCCACCUUAUGAAUAUGACAUAUAUUAUAGCCGAACAUCCUUAACACCGAUACUAUAUCUUAUAAGGCACCUUUAACCAAGAUGGUGGUGGCAAAAAAUCCGUUUCUCGACCGUCUAUUCUCUGCAUAUGCAUGGUUGACUCUCCGAAUAACAAACACAGAUAUAGAGAAGAGAAAUGAAUAUUUCUCGCUCACCCUACACGGGUGAUUUUCGUUAGUAAUGCAACGCGAAUUUAAUUAAAUUACAAUUUAGUGCUCUUACUCACCUUUUAAUAAUUCCAUAUCUCUAUUUGAUUAUAAUGAUACUCAAUUUUAUUUUUUCCAACACAACGACGUACAGUUUCGCUCCUUGUAAAGUACCGAUAUUCCUUUUGCGGACCCGGGGGGGGGGGGGGGGCUAAAAGAACUGUAUAAAAUUGUAUUAUCCCGUUUCAAAGAAAGGUGUAAAUUUGAGCUUAUUGUCGGUUAUGUUGAUAUAGCUUUAAUGUUAUAUUCGGGUACAGAUGUGCACCAUGAAUAACCAUUGACACCUCGAUUUUUCAGAAUUUUCUUGGAGGAGGUCC